GGAUAUAUAGCUCAGUGGUAGAGUACAUGCUUAGCAUGCACGAGGUCCUGGGUUCAAUCCCCAGUACCUCCA
rnacentral:tRNA from 1 species